rnacentral:tRNA from 1 species
GGAGGGGUGGCCGAGUGGUUUAAGGCGCCUGUCUUGAAAACAGGUUUCCCGAAAGGGAACGUGGGUUCGAAUCCCACUCCCUCCGCCA